GACGAACGCUGGCGGCGUGCUUAACACAUGCAAGUCGAGCGGUAAGGCCCUUUCGGGGGUACGCGAGCGGCGAACGGGUGAGUAACACGUGGGUGACCUGCCCUCAGCUCUGGGAUAAGCCGUAGGGAAACUGGGUCUAAUACCGGAUAUGACUCCAUGACGCAUGUUGGUGGGGUGGAAAGCCUUGUGCGGCUGAGGAUGGGCCCGCGGCCUAUCAGCUUGUUGGGUGGGGUGANGGCCUACCAAGGCGACGACGGGUAGCCGGCCUGAGAGGGCGACCGGCCACAC
rnacentral:rRNA from 1 species